rnacentral:sRNA from 12 species
UUCCUAUACAGAUGUAUCAACACAAGAUAGUUGGGCAUCUCCCUGUAGGACGAAGUUUAUCAGAAACUCUGAUAAUAAGUCUUGUUGUGUGGCUACGGUCGAAACAGGGUGAGUCAGAGCGGAGUAGGUUAGCCGUAAGACCUUGAGUUGAAAAACUCUAAAAUUGAGCUAGAGGUAUGGUUUCUGAAAUUCCGUAUUUUCUAGUUACGGCAGU